CCGCUGGCAGUCGUUGGGCCGUUCGUUCUGGUUGCACAUAGCCAAUUCCAUUAGGAGUCAAUGACAUGUGGGACUCAUUGAGUGUAGGCCCAAGCAAUGAAGUGAGUUUGUCUCCUGUUCUGGGUACGAGAAAACCCGACGUGCGGAGUGCGCGGUGAAAACCCUAGCCUCCAAUCCCCUUCCUCCCUCGAGCCCAGGCCUCCACCCACUCGCCUCUUUUCUCAUCCACCGCCUUGCACGUCCUCCUCCCCUUCACUUCUCAAGCCACGCCGCCAACCAUCUGCGCCCCACGACGACGGCGACUUUGCUGCCACCCCGGCGGCCGCGGGGCGCAGCUGGCCUUCAUGGGCCGCAUCAUCGCCACGCUCGACCGCAGCUACCGCUAGGGCCGCUCCCACGCGCUGCUCGAGUCGCCCGCCGGCACCGGCAGGUCGCUCUCCCUCCUUUGCGUCGCGCUGGCCUGGCAGCGCCACUGCCCAGCUCGGUACGCCCCAGCCGCCAACCCCCCUCCUCCACGACUACGCCUUCAUCCCUGGCAACACCCGGCAGCAGCCCACUACUGACAUUCCGGAGAAGGCGGCGGCUGCCAAGAAGAAGAAUGCGCCGACCAUCUACUACAUCACGUAAGAUCUGCUCUCAAAUGAACUGAAAUGAUGGGGCAAUCUUGCCAGCCAGGUUUCUUGGCUGCUUGUCUUGGAUCGAUUAGAUGAAUCCUGAUUGAUUUCAUUUCCCUUCAAAAAAUCCUGAUUAGUUUCUUGGUUCCAUUGUCUAUCGGUUGCCGGAGGACGCACUGUCAGAUAACCCAGGUGGUCAUGGAGCUGUGCAAGACGAUGGCCAUCUUGGCCUCAAGGAAGCACUAUUGCAUCAAUAAGACCGUAUGCAUGGCUAAGCCAAUUGACGAGGAAUUGUGACAUACAAGACACAUAUAUUUACUAAUCAUUUGGGUUCUUCAUUGUAAACCAUUUAGUGAGACCUUUUCUCCAUCAGCAAGAAGCUUCUAGAUGACAAAGUUCAAGGAUGCCCAGAAUUCAAAAACUGAGUCAUCGUCCAUCCCUUCGGACCGAUGGCUGCUAUGAAGUUCCUGAUAUUGAGGAUCUUCCUAGGGCCGGAACACAAGUCAAAGGUUUAUCUAUCUCUUUGUUUACAUAGAUUUUCCAUGAAUCCUGAGGCACACACUAUGCCACCACUGAAUUUUGAAAUCUAUUCUAAUGCCACCUUUCUUUUUAGUUAUUUAUAGGAUGUCCAUAUUUUGCUGCACAAACCAUGCAUGGCAAAAGCAGCACAAUUGAUUUUCUGCCCAUAUAGCAACCUAAUUAGUCCAAUUGUCAGGAGAGCAAUGGACAUUGAUAUCAUUGGCUCAAUUGUUAUUCUUGAUGAAGCGCAGUAAGCCCCUGAGUCUGCAGACUCAUGAUUCUUUUUCAGUGUCAUUCAAUGGUUUCCUUAGUUGCAAGACAAUGGCUCCCUAUGUUACCGAUCCGGUGUUGCUGUGCGUGAGGACGGACAUGGGGAAGGUGCAACAAGGCAGCGCUCAAGUUGCAGUGGAGUGGAGUCGACCAUCACUACUGACCGCUGCUCGGCGAUCCUCGCCCCUCACCCCCCAUCUAGAUGUGGUUAGGAACUAAAUCGACAAGCAUCGAUAUUUUUGUUAGGAAGGAGCGCUAGGAGCCUAGGAGUGGAACACGAUUUCCUCGAAUCUAGCCGAGGCCUCUGCUUUUGUCGUCAUCUUCCAUCGGUCCAAGCUGCUACUGUUCGCUCCGUCGGCUUGCAGUUGCUUCUGGAGCGUGCUUCAGAUUCAUUGUGCCUCCUUCCAAUAUAAAUGUUUGUGUUGAAGUGGUAGCCAAGACAAACGCAGUAAUCGAAUCAAGAAAUUAGAUGAUAGGACCGAAGAUUGGGGACAAAAUAACUCAAACCAACAGACCAACCAUGAGGGUUCUAUAUAUACGACAAAUGAGUAGUUGACAAAAUGAGGUGAGAUGACAGGUAAAUCAGAACUAGUGGAGAAUAAUGCAUAAAAAUGUAACUUGGGAAUAAUGAAAGAAUGAUGAAGAUAUAUUAUCUUGGAAUCUCAAAGACAUUUACAAUUGCUGCAUGCAGAAAAGUUCAUUUCAUAACAGUAUGAAUAAUGUCAAACAUUUGUUGCCAUCAUUAAUCAGAUAAAAAAAUUAUACCUCCAGGACGGGAUAAAACCGGGACAAUAUCUAUGUUGAUUCUUCCCCUAUUCGCCCUUUUCUGAUACCACGUUUUUUCUGAAAAUUGUAGAAUCGAGUGAAUAACUUGUACUGUAAUAUAAGUAUUUAAAGGCUAUAUGUUUGGAAGAACUAAUACACAUGUAAAAUAACGCAACGGGUUACUUUACGUAUUUCAAAUUUCAUUAUAACAUAGGCAACACAUAUUAUUCACUGCGAUCAUAUCAUCGGCAGAUAAUCUGGCCAACUGGGAAAAAGAUCUCUUACUGAAUUAGUUAUAAAACAACAAAUUAACAACUGACUGAUUGUAGAACUGAAGCAACAAGCCUCUAAUGCAGAAAUUCUUAGAAAUAGUGUACUGUACAUUAUUGCCAGUUUUUAUAUUCAAUUGUCAUAUCUGAAUGUAGUAUGCUUAAAAUUUUGCAUAUGCUACCUGAUUAGUUAGUGUAGACAUGAGAGGCCUGCACUUCUUGUUCCAUUUUAGCUCUUGAGAAUCACAUGAGACUGAACUCCUCUUCAAUAAUAACUUCUCCAACAUCCUUUUUUAUGAAGGAAUACAUCAUCUUCGAGAAGAUAUUGUACCAUGUUAACUCUUAGAUUCACUCACAACCAAAAGCAACAAUCUAGAGCAAAAUAAUACUCAGUUAAAUCAGCUUAUCUAACAAAGCCCAAUAACAGAACAACUUAUGAAGUGACUUGAAAGGGAACAUUCAUGGUGAUUUCUCAGUGAGGGACACAUUGUGAAGCUGUCCACAAUAUGUGCGAUUGCUAUUAGUGCCAAAGGUUAUGUUGGUUGAUGAGCUUGAAAUUGUGCUCCAUAGAAAAGGGUUGGCCCCUGCACUUGCUUCAUUUGCUUUAGGCACAGGUUGCGGUGGGGUGUCAGCUUGCUUCCCAUAAUGUCUUUUACUGACAGCAGUUCCUUUGGUACCAGUUCUUUCAUUCUUGAAAGAAACUAACCUUCUUCUCUUUGGCAUAGGUGCUAAGAAAACUUGAGCUUCAUGAUUUGCUCUUGGAUCAAACUGAAAAUUAAUUUCAGUUGAAGAAUUAGUAGCAUGUAUCCUCUGAUUACCAACAGGGAAGAACUGCUCCAGUCGAAGAGCAGACAUUAUUCAUUGUGCCAACAGACUGCCUGGAAAGGAAGAAAUCAUAUGAAGUACAUCAGCACCCAUCUUAUCACCAGUUGGGGGAUUGUUUUUUCUCUCCUCGUCAACAAAGCUUGCAUCAGGCGGUCGGGUCGGAGAGAGAGACUUACCUGGAGCUGUACAAUCACACAGGAGAGGGUGGAGGGGCUCAUGGCGGCGGCGAGGCAACAGGAGGAGGGAGGGGCCCGGUGUCGCCGACGAGCAUGCCAAGCUCGAGCGCCUCCUCGAGCACUUAGGCGACUGGAUUCGAAGAAGGAGCAGGGCAGAGGAGAGGCGUGGAGUCCUGCGCCUCCACGUCCGCCUCCGAUGGAGCCUAGAGCGCGCUGGCGCGAGCAUGCCGAGCUCGAGGGCCUUCUCGGCCACUUCUGCGGCCAGAUUCAACAUGAGGAGGGGGGAUCAGUGGCUGUGAAUCUCGCUGACCGCCGGCUAUGGAGGGAGGGAGCUGGUGAUGGGAGAAAUGGGGAAUGGGGGAGAUGUGACGGGCGGUGGAGAGGAUGACUGCUGGUUUUUCAGUACUACUGUAUUAGGAAGUGACAAGAGCUUGUCAAUUAGUGGGAAUGGAUUCGUAGGCGGUGGGAAUGGAUUCUGGACGGCUGGACCCAAACAAAUUUUCUUUAUCUUCUACAAAUAAAAAGAAUCGAUUAUUUCUUCCAAACAAUCCAUUAUAUUUUAUCAGACGUGCCUCAUUCACCUGUGUGGGUGCGAUUUUUCUUUUUUCAGGGCUUGUUACAGUCAUGACCAUUUGAUAACUUUAAAACUAUAUUAUAUAACUAUCUAUAAAAAUGAUAAAAGAAAUUAUGUAAUAUGUUUAAGUUCCGUAAUUAUGUAAGUUAUCUUGCGGUCCAUGGACGUUAAAUUUUAAGGAAUACUUCACUGGAGGUAUUUUGUUUGACACUUCUACACAAGUAUUUUUUGUUGUGUAUCAUUAACUUAUUUUAUGUUGUAUCAUUAUUUCAAAACUAACUCUGGCUAUUACUUUACAGGAUCAUAUGCCAGAUUUCAGAACAAAACUAGCUAUCAUUUAGUGGACUCGAGAUUGAAUGGCGAUGAUAUAAAAAACUGAGACUUGAAGAUGACAGAAACAACACAAAUUCCAACGGAUUGUAUGAUUCUGGAUAGACCUCUAAGAACAUGGAGACAACAUAGAUCUCACUGUUUAUUUAUUUAUCUAAGGACGUUAAAUUUGUUACCAUAUGUGUUUACCCACAACCAAAUCAAGUAAAUUAUGGAUUUUCUUUUCAA